UUGCAUUGGGGCCACCAACUGUAUUAUAUGUGUAUUGCAACAAUUUGCACGUGUAAUCGAGAAAUAUGCUCAGAGCUGAUCAUCGUAAUCGACCUGAAAUUUAUCACGAUCAUCGAUCACGAUCACAUAAUCGCUCAGGCCUAUGUGUCUCGUUUGGAUCUGUGGUGCA